CAUCAGUCUGACCAUAAACCAUGUUUGUAGCUUUGUUAAUGCUGUUGGCAGCUGGAUGUGUGAAGUGUGAACAGCUGACACAGCCACCCUCUGUGACUGUGCGGCCAGGUCAGCGUCUGACCAUCACCUGUCAGGUCUCUUAUUCUGUGAGCAGCCAUCACACAGCUUGGAUCAGACAGCCUGCAGGGAAAGGACUGGAGUGGAUUGGAAGUGCACGUGUUGGAUAUGACACAUACUACAAAGAUUCACUGAAGAACAAGUUCAGUAUCAGCUUAGAUUCUUCCAGCAACACUGUGACUCUAAAUGGACAGAAUGUGCAGCCUGAGGACACUGCUGUGUAUUACUGUGCCAGAGACUCACAGUAA